GACGAACGCUGGCGGCGUGCUUAACACAUGCAAGUCGAACGGAAAGGCCCUGCUUGCAGGGUACUCGCGUGGCGAACGGGUGAGUAACACGUGGGUGAUCUGCCCUGCACUUCGGGAUAAGCCUGGGCAACUGGGUCUAAUACCGGCUAGGAGCCAUUUUUAGUGUGAUGGUUGGAAAGUUUUUUCGGUGUUGGGUGAGCUCGCGGGCUAUCGGCUUGUUGGUGGGGUUAUGGCCUACCAAGGCGGCGUCGGGUAGCCGGACUGAGAGGGUGGACGGCGACAUUGGGACUGAGAGACGGCCGAGACACCGACGGGUGGCAGCAGUGGGGAAGAUUGCACAAGGAGCGCAAGCCUGAUGCAGCGACGCCGCGUGUGGUAUGACGGUCUUCGGGUUGUAAACUCCUUGCGCUAGUGACGAAGCUUUUUGUGACGGUACCUAGAUAAGAAGCAACGGCUAACUACGUG
rnacentral:rRNA from 1 species